rnacentral:rRNA from 1 species
UACGGGGGGUGCAAGCGUUAUCCGGAAUCACUGGGUUUAAAGGGUGCGUAGGCGGCAUGAUAAGUCAGAGGUGAAAGCUUCCCGCUUAACGGGAGAACUGCCUUUGAUACUGUCGAGCUUGAAUUGGCGCGAGGCAAGCGGAAUGUGGCAUGUAGCGGUGAAAUGCUUAGAUAUGCCAUAGAACACCUAUUGCGAAGGCAGCUUGCCAGAGCUUUAUUGACGCUGAGUCACGAAAGCGUGGGGAUCGAACAGG